UACGGGGGGGGCAAGCGUUGUUCGGAAUUACUGGGCGUAAAGGGCUCGUAGGUGGCCAACUAAGUCAGGCGUGAAAUCCCUCAGCUUAACUGGGGAACUGCGUCUGAUACUGGAUGGCUUGAGUUUGGGAGAGGGAUGCGGAAUUCCAGGUGUAGCGGUGAAAUGCGUAGAUAUCUGGAGGAACACCGGUGGCGAAGGCGGCAUCCUGGACCAACACUGACACUGAGGAGCGAAAGCCAGGGGAGCAAACGGG
rnacentral:rRNA from 1 species